GAGACAGAGUCGUGGCUUUCGUUCGUUUGCAACCAGCUGGUUGGGGGCAGCCAUGGGAGAACAGUGUUCUGUUCCACAGGCGCUCGAAGACAAAGCAAGAAUCAAACCCUUGAUGGUUUCAGAGGACAUGCCCCUGUAGGAAUCUCUCCAGCUCAUCGGGGGGCUCUGACCCUCAGUCGCCAUGGCUGAGAAAACCCAGAAGCAAAAACCCUAAAAAGCUUCUCCGCUCACAGGCUUUGAGUGUAUCAUUACUGUUACAAAACUGCAAAUACCCAAAUAGGCGAGCGACUCAGAGUGAGUUGAGAGAGAGAGAGAGCACGUUCGAUCGAGUUUACAAAGAAACAACACAGUGAGAGAUUUGGGAUCGGGAGAUUUCAUUUUUCUACAUCCUUCGACUCAGGCUCCCCCAUCUUUCUUGCUUGCGAAUAUUUGCAUCGUUGCUCUCCAGGUGACUGUUUGUGUGUGAAGAAAGGCUUGCGAUUGCCCUUGCUGCUGUUGUGGGACAGAGUUUGUGCCUUUGCGAGCUCUAACCGAAGCCGGGAAAACUGUUCUAAAGGUGUUCUUUUGUUGCUUUGAAUAGAGCAGUUUGGUUGGUGUUUUCAGCUAUGUUAAGCAGGAGGUGCUGUAUAACUGUUUUUUAGACUGUUUGGUAGCUCUUCCCAUUGCUGCUAGACAACAGGUUGGCUAUACAUCAAAACACUGUCAAAGAUGUAGCACAUGUGGCACUAAUGCUCCAGUUGGGGAUCACCAGGUUGUUCAGAGCCCUGUUUUAGAAUCUAGAAUGUCUUUAUUUUUCGCUCUUUUGAUUGUUGCUUAAUUUUAUUUCAAAUUGCUCCUCUGCAAAUGGUUGGUUGCAAGUCACAAUUAUGGGCCAUUGAACUAAUUUCCAGAAACAAAUUGACCACAUUGGAACUAAUUAUAUAGGGUUUGGUCGAUGUUUGGUUUUAUCGAAUUUGUUUUUUACAGAACAUUUGGUAUUGGUCUACACUGUCUUGCAUGCAUAUGGAUUUUGAAAUGAGUUGUGAUGUGUCUAUGUAGUUUUCUCUUUAUGGUGUUGUUUACUUUUCAACCAAUUAACAUGUGAUUCUCCUCUCAAGGAAUUUGAAAAGAAACCAGUCUUGAAUUCGUAUUGUCAUAUUUUCAUGUUUUCAUUUGUUUGUGUAACAGCUAGAUGCCCUUGCAAGAAACAUCAAAAAAGAAAAAUCCAUGUCCACCACCCAUUAAAAUAUAGAUAGACGCCUGUACAAGAUUUUUUGAACAAUAUGCAGCUCAAGGCUGCUCAUAUUUUGAUGUUCUAAUAGCUGCUUGAUAUAUUAAAAUAUGCAUAAUAUUUUUACGA